AGAGCUCCUCUUUAAAGAUUAUCCACUGCUCUACAGCUGCUUUCUCUCAGUUCAUUGCUCGGCGUUUUGCUCCCGGGAUUUUCGUUUCCACGUACCCAACCUUCCUAUUUUGAAACACACCCGCCAAACGUGCGUCCCGUACAGGACCGAAUGCCUCGUCUCAGUUCGCACGAAGCGAUGUAACGUUAAAACGCGCGCACCGGGAUUCGUUGGAGUGUUCGGCUCCUCCGUCAAACCUUCAUCUCGCUGUCUUCUUUUGUCAUCAUAUUUUUUUUUCGAGCUCCAUUUCUUUUUUCUCUGGAAAACCAGGAGAACAAACUUUCUCCAUGACUUGAAGACUACCAGAACAACACGUGUGUGGAUGUGACGUUCUACCUUUGAGAGGUUACUUUCUUGCGCUCGAUAACCAGUGGAUAGGUGCGACAACGUCCACAAGCACACGACGAAGAAAUCUUCCGGCUCCCGACCACUGAGCUGUUUGGACAUGGCCGGAUGUUGGGCGCCUGGCUGCCGGUCCCGUUGCAAUAGGCGCCAUGUGGUCCUUUCGCCGACCUUGUCUUGCAACUUGCGGACACUCUGCGGCCACCCUACCGAUCACGUAGCCGGUCAUCUCUGAAGAGCCGCUGAAUAUUCCGAAGAGAGAGAAAGAGAGAGACAAAAAUACAAAGAAGCAGAAGGACGCACACUCCUCGCAAAAGUAGUAGCAGCUGCUGCUGCUGCAUCCGACGACCGGCCAGCCUCCGGUUGAACCACCCUGUUUGUCACUAUGACUGGAGGCUCCCAAGUGUCCGUCACACUGCUCCUGUCAGCGUGCCUGCUGCUCUGGUGCAGCACGAUUGUACACUGCUCCCGCGCCGAGCGCGUGUUCGCGCAGCUGAAGGCGCUGCGUGAAUGUGAGCAACGCGCACUGUUUGACGCCGGGGACAACGACACCGCCUCGUGUGACUGGCGAUUCGACGGCUGGCAGUGCUGGCCACCGACGCCUGUCGGAGCCACGGCCCGCGCAGCCUGCCCAGAACUGCUGCCCGGAGAAGUGAAUUCCACCGGUACGGCGAAAUACCGGUGUCUCCCUGAUGGUUCUUGGAAUGGCGAAACAGGCAACUAUAGCGCCUGCACAAGCUCACCUUAUCAAGAUACAGAGCUGACGUUGCUGCGCGCAAUCGCUCACGAUAUUGGCGAGUACGUUCCCUGGGAACAGAUCUCGGCGCGCGGAGAAAACUGGAUGUGGCAGGAGAAGAUCGGCCACUUCAAGCACUGCCUCGAGCACGUGCUGCUCAAGCCUCCUGUCGAGAACGAUGGGAACCAGACACUGUGUCCGCGUACUUGGGACGGCUGGAACUGUUGGGACGACACGCCUCCCGGUCGAACGGUGCACGCGCCCUGUCCUCAGUUCGUGGCUGGGUUUCUGUCAACCAGGCAAGCGCACAAAUUGUGCACUUCAAACGGCACAUGGUUCCGUCACCCUGUCACAGGACUCGUGUGGUCCAAUUACACCGCAUGUGUGGAUACUCAUGAUUUACAGUUUCGAAACUUGGUCAACUCAUUAUACGUCACAGGAUACUCAAUAUCACUUGUAGCACUUGUUUUAUCCAUGCUCAUAUUCUGUUACUUCAGGUCACUUCGUUGUCGAAGGAUCACAAUUCACAAGAAUUUGUUCACAUCUUUCAUUAUCAACAACCUUUGUUGGAUACUCUGGUACAUCCACAUCAUCGCGCAACCACACGUGAUCGCGGAAAAUCCGAACUGGUGCCAAGCGCUGCACGUGGUGACACAGUACUUCCUGUUGUGCAACUACCUGUGGAUGUUCUGCGAGGGCCUUUACUUGCACACGUUGCUUGUACUUGCCUUUAUCGCGGAGGACAAGAUCCUCAAGUGGUUUCUGCUCAUCGGCUGGGGUUUUCCUUUGCUACCAAUAAUCGCUUACGCCGUCUUGCGAUCCUUGGAUCCAGAAGCGUCAAAAAUGUGCUGGGUCGAGCAUGACGUCUGGUAUACAUACAUCCUCAGUGUUCCUGUUUGCUUCUCAAUACUGCUGAGCUUCGCAUUUCUCGUCAACAUCGUCAGGGUCCUGGUCACAAAGCUUCGAGCCGUGAAUUCUCCUGACAACGAAAGCACAAGGAAAGCUGUACGAGCAACUGUGAUCUUGCUUCCCCUGUUGGGCUUGCACUACGUGGUGACACCGUUCAGACCAGACAAAGGGUCCAUACUGCUCGCCUACGAGAUAAUAUCGGCGCUGGUCACAUCAUUACAGGGUCUUUGCGUCGCACUUCUGUUCUGCUUCUUCAAUGGAGAGGUUUUGGGCGUCCUGCGGAAAACGUUGUCGCAGACGCCUUGGUUCAGAAACAAGGCUCGUCGGAUGUCGUAUGCGAAUACCAGCAUCAGUAGCACUCAGCACACUGACUGCCCCUGCGAAAUUCCGGAAUAUCCUGCACUCUUCACACUUACUUGAGGCGCGUGUAAGACGGAUUGUCACUGGCUGAACUUCCCCCGUUAUCACUGCUUGCAUCCCAAUUUAUCCCUACCCCGAGUACAAGCCCCUUCCCACUCAAUUUCUGCCAAGACGCCCAUCUGAUGGCAGAAGUCCGUCUGUGUCGCCAAAUCACCUCCAGCAGACCUUGGUGUGAGAGAAGUGAAAUGCAAAGCAGGCACAACGAUUGAAA